UCUCGUUCCCCUCCCUCUCGCGUGCCUCCUCUCCUCCCGCCUCGCCGCCGCCUCCUGUCCCCUCCCGCGCCCACCUCCCUGCCCUGCCGCCAGCGCCGCCGCCGCCGCUUGCCCGGGCAGGCCCGUGGCUGGAUGAGACGAGGGAGGGAGCCUAUCUCUCGCGCAGCCGUCGCUCUUGCUCCUCUGGGCCUCUGCUCCGGCCCGAGCCGCCCCUGCUCCUCUGCGCUUCCCUGCUCCACGUGUGAUCAUACUGGCCCUCUCCUUGUGCUAGCCCCUUGCGGCCGUGAAGGGCGGCGGAGCCCUCAGGAGCGGCGGCGGCGGAGCCAUCAGAAGUGUGGCAAGGUCUUGCGUGAAGGUCAUCCUCCUACAUCGCUCUGUCACACACUUUGAUUUGAGUUAGAACAGAGGAACCCAGAUUUCUUUGCGUCACCUCGCCCCUCUGUGUUACCUUGCCCCAGGACCCUGAAAUCUCAGGACCGGCCCUGUGAGCACGCCAUGGAUUUCUCUGAUCCGCGAUGGUCGCCGUCGGCAAUGCUCACACCUGGUCUGCUCUUCUCUUGUGGAUGUGCAGGAAGAAAAGGGCCAUUGGAUUGUACGGGAAGAACGGGAUGUUGUUCUUUGCUGCUCGACCACAUUGCCGCUGAACCAUUUCUCCUGCCAGUCCCUUCAAUGUCCCUCAAAGUCUGCAGAAUCUCACCAUUUGUGUUUGCUUAGCCAUCCUACGAAGGUGCUCUGUUCAACUUGGCCUCUGUGUGACGAACAUCGAACCAAUGAUGCAUUUGUAUCUCCUUUGGCUGGAUACAAAGUUCCAUAUUCCGGGAAGAAGGGCUUAAAUGAUGCAUGUGGAUAAUUGAAGGGCCGCAUUAAUAGGCCUUUUCUAUUUGGUCAUUUGAUUGCACCAAAGAUUUAUUAUUUUCCACUGCUUAAGGGCACAACCAAUGAGGCAAUUUCUGGAGCCAACAACGACCUAGCUGGACACCGGGCUCUCUCAGAGUUUAGCGACUGGUGGCCGUCAGAUCGUUUUGCUUGAUGCGAUCUGGGCCGUCGGAUCAUGCCACCGGAUGACCUCGACCGUCGGAUCUGGGAGCGACACUGUAGGAAUGAAUAGAUACUCUUCCCCCGCGAUCUGGCUCACUCCGUGAUUUUGGCUGUGCCUCGUUGGCGUGUGGGGUCUCUCGCUGGCGGGCCCCACAUGUCAUUUGCUAUGGCUGGGGCAGGCCCCGUGCGGCCGGUCGGCGCUCUCCAGAGGCAAAAGAUAUCAUGCCACCGCUGAAAUUCUUGUCCCCUGCCGAGGGCAUUUUUGGUUUUUCGUGUCGCCGGCACCAAAUGCCUUGCCCCGAUUUGUGGCCUCUUCUCCAAUCGGGUGACAAAGCUAGGGUUCAGUCUUCUCCUCUCACCUCCGUCUUCUCGUGCGCAGUCAUCCUUGCUCCUCUUCUCUCCGGCCCGAGCGGCCGCCUCCGGCGGCCACUAGCUCGUUGCCCCGGUCAUAUCCGCGACUAGAGUUUCUCUUAGCUGGCGAGGGGCUAUGAUGAUCGGUUUUUGCUGAUAUAAGCAUGCUCUCGAGCAAUCGAGGCACUUGUGGGUAUUAAGUUGGACCCCCUCUUUUCUUUGUGCCGUUUUGAUCAUGUGCUUAUUUUAGUGGCUCUGUCCUUGGAUGGUCAUUUCUGAUGAGUGAUAACCAAGGCAGUUCCACCCUUGUAAGAACAGAUUGAUCUGGUGAUGGAGACAUUAGGGGAAGGGUCAUGAUCGAGCAAAGCCGAAUCUGAGCCCAGUCGAAUGCAGUUCUGGUCUCAAGCACAGUGUGCUAUGUUGUUGCCAUUCUGUAAUUGUAUUUAGCGCCUCUUUGGUUUGCAGGAAUUUAAGAACACACUGAAGGAAAAAAAAUGAAUGAUUGCAUUGUUAGGGCGUCUCCAUCGGUGACCCCGAAAGUUCUAUCCGCAAA